GGGGGCGUAUUUGGCUUUCGACGGGGGUAUGUUGAUCUGCGGAAGCGAGCCGAGGGUUUCCUGGACCCGCGUUAAAAAACUGGGAACUAAAUGUAAACGCAGAAAAUAAUUUUGCAAUAGCAGCCUAGUAGCUGCUCGUUCUACCCGAGAGUCCCACGACUUGGGAUAGGGCGCCAACUAGUGGGGAACCGAGCCAUCCAAAGCUUUGAGGAUGGAACGGAAUUUAUGAAGCUACUAAAGUGAGAAUCCUGUCAGUAGGAGUCUCAUGGAGGGAAUGUUAAAUUACUGACUGCGCUCGGAGAUGCUGUGGUGUGACUACUUUCGGACAGGGGUUCGACUCCCCUCGCCUCCACCA
rnacentral:tmRNA from 1 species